rnacentral:rRNA from 1 species
GACGAACGCUGGCGGCGUGCUUAACACAUGCAAGUCGUACGGUAAGGCCCUUUCGGGGGUACACGAGUGGCGAGCGGGUGAGUAACACGUGAGUAACCUGCCCACAACUUUGGGAUAACGCUAGGAAACUGGUGCUAAUACUGGAUAUGUGCUCCUGCUGCAUGGUGGGGGUUGGAAAGCUCCGGCGGUUGUGGAUGGACUCGCGGCCUAUCAGCUUGUUGGUGGGGUAGUGGCCUACCAAGGCGGCGACGGGUAGCCGGCCUGAGAGGGUGACCGGCCACAUUGGGACUGAGAUACGGCCCAGACUCCUACGGGAGGCAGCAGUGGGGAAUAUUGCACAAUGGGCGCAAGCCUGAUGCAGCAACGCCGCGUGCGGGAUGACGGCCUUCGGGUUGUAAACCGCUUUCAGCAGGGACGAAGCUUUUUGUGACGGUACCUGCAGAAGAAGCACCGGCUAACUACGUG